rnacentral:rRNA from 1 species
GACGAACGCUGGCGGCGUGCUUAACACAUGCAAGUCGAACGGAAAGGCCCUGCUUGGGUUGGGUGCUCGAGUGGCGAACGUGUGAGUAACACGUGAGUAACCUGCCCUGGACGUUGGGAUAACUUCAGGAAACUGGUGCUAAUACCGGAUAGGAGCUCCUGCUGCAUGGGGGUGUUUGGAACGUUUCGGCGGUUGGGGAUGGACUCGCGGCUUAUCAGCUUGUUGGUGGGGUAGCGGCUUACCAAGGCUUUGACGGGUAGCCGGCCUGAGAGGGUGACCGGCCACAUUGGGACUGAGAUACGGCCCAGACUCCUACGGGAGGCAGCAGUGGGGAAUAUUGCACAAUGGGCGGAAGCCUGAUGCAGCAACGCCGCGUGCGGGAUGACGGCCUUCGGGUUGUAAACCGCUUUCGCCUGUGACGAAGCGUGAGUGACGGUAAUGGGUAAAGAAGCACCGGCUAACUACGUG